AAUUUCUGCAAAUUUUUUCUUUUAAUCUAAUUUAAAUUAAAUCAGUUCUUAUGUUUUGAUGGUGUUUUAAUUUACAUACGGAUAAUCUGUGACCUUAUAAUUUCACUAAAUAGUAAGAUCUUCAUUUAUUUGUGAUUGAAGCAAUCAAGAUUGUUGUGUCUAAAUACUCUGUCCAUCAUGAAAUUGUCUUUCAAUGCUUGUGAUAAUCGUCAUCAUACAUCUUGGUAUCAACUAAAUGGAUCGUCUCUGGAGUAGGAAUCAACAACCAAUUUUCAAAUGGACAAUUUCAAGCCGUCACAUCACACAUUAUUAAUUUUAAUUUUCAACAAACUCCAAAGCUUGCAGCUGUAUGAAAGCUUAAUUGACUAUUUGGACCAUCUUUCACCAAAUUAUUCAAUUAUAAUGUAUUAUUGAUGAUCUGGUUGUGUUCACGUUGGGCCAUCACAAAAUGACUUUACCAGAUUCCCUGCUAACCCAUUUGGACCCUUCCUCUUGGUUUCUGAAAAUCUCGAUUUCUUUGUUCAAUCAAGUCUAUCAAGUUUAUAAAUAUAAUUUUAUGGAUGAUUAUAUGUCUAAUGUGUUGAAAUUUAAUGUGUGAAACCAGUAAACAUGAAAAUUGUCACCAAUAUUCUCUUUGAAUGUAAUUAGUCAAUUUGGUCAUUUUGUUAUUAAUCCCACUUGUUUAACUCAAUAACCAGUUAAUUGACUAUCGGCAGACCAUUAAUAAUGCACCAAAUCACCGAGCUCAAUAAUAUCUGGCGAUUCUGAUGAUCACAGUUGCUAUUAAUUGAAAUUAAAGGACGUGGAAUACCAACGUGAAGGUCAACUCUGAUAACCAUUUAACCAUUACAAUUGGAUGUGCAAGUCUUACAAUUGAAAUAACCAUGAAGGCUAACCAAAGUGUCUAUCCAAGUCUCCAUUGAAAGUGAAAGCAUAUCGAAAUGAUGUAGACCAGUCAAUCUUAUUUUUAUGUUAAAUAGUUAAAUUGUUUACAGAUGAGAUGCUUCAUGAUUUAAACAUUAAGCUUUCUUAAUUUCUCUCAAUCAUGUUCACAUAAAUUAACAGUAUUGAACACGCAAUUAAUAAUUUUACCUGAUAUUAAUCAUUCAAUUCAAUUGCAAUCUCUUCUCUUCUCAACUGAUCUCGUUUGACCUCUCAGUUGCUGUUCAAUAUCAUCAUGGCUGUCAUCAAAUUUAAUAAUCAUUCAUAGCCAAUUUGAUUGAAACUAAAGGUUGAUUGAGCAUUCAUAAAGUAAUUUAAUUUAAAUUAGAUAGAAAUAUAAUUGAUUAAUGUUUUCGCUUAUAAAUAGAAAUGUAAAAGUUAAAU